GACUUCACGUGAUCCGCGCACCUCAGCCUCCCAAAGUGCUGGGAUUACAGGCGGGAGCACCGCGCCCGGCCCACUAAGAACAAUUCUAAAGGUAACUGCUUUUGACAAAUUGGAAAUCUAACUCACAGCGGCUUGUUUUUCUGGAAUAACUCCCUUCUAUAGAACUCUUCUAAGUGUUGAUUUUGCAAAGAUGUUUCCAAAUCAGAUUUGCCUAAUUAUGUUUAUGUCUACCCAUGCAGACAUACUGAAAGACUAAGAAAUCACACAGCACAGGACAACGGAAGCAACUUGAAGAAAUUUCAGAUAUUCUUGAAAGUAUGAAUUACAAUCACAGAAAAUGUAUUUCAUUUGUCAAAAUUCUUGAUUUCUCAAGUUCAAAAAUGCCUUGGCACAUUUCCACGGCUCCUGGCUAGAAGGAGAAUUUAACUUGGCUCUACUCCCAGAACUGAAAUUUUGUCUCUCAAAGGACUGGUGCAUCAUUUUGCGGCUGGAAGCUUGGAAAAGCUCUGACAGACUCAAGUCUCUGCUGUGCUUCUGUGGUGGAGCCUUGGACAGCCGUGGGGUUAAGGUUGUUGGAUUCAGAGUUGCUAUUCCUCCACUGCAUCGGGACAGGAUCCCAUCCAGGAUCGCACAUUCCAUGUAGUCACUGCCUCCUUAGGCUCCUCCUGGCUGCGACAGUUUUUCAGAUUUCCCUUGUUUCUGAUGAUCUUGGCAGUUUUGAGGAACACUGGUCAGGUUGAUUUUAGUGCAUUUGAGCUACAAUCAUAUUUUAUUAUCUAGAAAAUGCCUUGAAGACAUCUGUGGACCUACAGACUUCCAGAGCUACUUUCUGCAUACAAAGGAGGCAUGAACAGGGCUUUCUACUCAGAAGUGGACUAAGGUGAAUCCAUCCAACCAACAUCUGUCAUAGUUCUUUGUGUCCCAAACACCUCAUAUAUGUUGAAAUUAGCUGAUUUCAUGAUUCAGAAUAGAUCCGGUCUUCAACCUCAAAGUUGUCCAGUGCAUCCCCAGUUCAACCUCAGAAGAACCUUUCAGAAGCCCACCAGCUCAUGAAACAUUCCUUCUGGGGGUCUCUGGUGGGCACAGAAUAAGCCCCCCUUCCCCUCAGGGUCUGCCUGUCUGCCCCUUAACCUGUUCUCCUGCUCCUCCAUUCCGGGUUCCCUCCAUCUAAGGCAAACUGCCCAGGGCACCUGCCCAGCAUGGAAAGUUUGGUCUUCAGGGUCUUGACUUUUUACCAGCAUCUCUGAAGCCCCAAAGUCAUAUAAGAAUUUAUUUGACUGAAAAUUAUUUGAGAACUUUAUGUGUUAAUUUUCCUUAUAAAGUGAAAGUUGAUCACUUUCUUUUCCCAUAUUUCCUUUGCCCAGACACAACUUACUGUUACUCUGUUUUCAAUAUCGAAGCAGGAAAUGGAAUUCACUGUGAGCCUGCCCCAGUGCUAUUCAGACUCAUUCUAUUCAGGGAGCAACUUCACUCCAUAAUUUGUGUAGAUACAGUUACUUACCCACCCCCUCCCUAGUGCAUAACUCCCCAAACACACCCACAGACUUCUUCCCCUAGGGAACUACUCAGUGGUGUGUCUCCCUUUACCAGUCAAGUGCACACAAUCAGUGCAUGCUGUGCUGGUCAAUGUGGUGAUCUUUUUCCCUCUUUUAACCUGGGGAAGAGAGUUUAUGGCAGAAAUCACAGCUUUAAUCCACACAUCUUCAUGUACCAACUUCAAUGUUCUAUAAGACAGAGAACAGAAUGGGUCCAGCGAUUCCUCCUGAGCAGUUGUCACGGAAAUCUCUUGCUCUCCUUUGGGAAGAUGACUUUCACUCUUAAUGAUGCAUCAGUACUCACCAUUAUUACAUGGACUGGUGAACGAGAACUUGUUAUCUGCCAGCACUGUGCUGUGCUUCACUCAAGCUGGUUAAUUCCUGCACUCUUCUGUGUUACUGAACGAUUUUUCUUUUCUUCUGAAUGGCAGUUUUUAAACGUAGGACUACUGUUUCUUCAUCAUUUGAGUUUGGGAAUUAGGUCUCAAAUGAGGCAGCUUAUGAAACCUGCUUUGGAGGUCAGGGGUCUUCUCUAUAGUGGAAAACAUCUACCUGACCCUUUUCGGGCCCCAAACUCCUCUCCAGGGUGUAGUGAAUGCAUGGCACUGGGCAUCCCUCCUGUAAAUGGAGGAGCUUAGAUCUCUGGAGGAAACUUCUGGGCUAGUAUGUGGCUACCACGAAAAUGGCUACAAGUGGGAAUAAAAGGGCUUUGAUCACCUAGUCUUGAGUUCCAGGCAGUUUUUCUGGGCCAUGCCACUGAUCAAGCAUGGUGACAUCGAAGGAAGGUAUUCUCCUUUUUUUCUUUUUUGAAAGUGUCUCGCUUUGUCGCCCAGGCUGGAGUGCAGUGGUGCAAUC